AGCCAUUGGGGAAUAAGGUAGAAAUGGAGAUCGCGAGUAUGUUAGAAAAGAACACAUCUCUUUUGAAGUUCGGGUAUCACUUCACUCAGCAAGGCCCCCGGCUUCGUGCCUCCAACGCCAUGAUGAACAACAACGACCUUGUGAGGAAGAGGCGGCUGGCCGAUCUGAACGGGCCCAUCUUUCCCAAGUGCCGGACCACUGUGUAGCUCUUGGCUAGAGGGGGAGUCGGCGAGCUCAAGCUGGACCGAGAACUGUGGCGACGCAACUGUGGAGUGAAUUUGUGGUGCCUGAAGUUUGUUUGUUUGUGUUCCCUCCCUGUGCACUAAAAAGGGCUCGACGAAUUAGCGACUGUAGGUGAAAAAAAAUCCUUAUAAUCAAUGCAUGGGAAAUGCCUUUUUUGUUGUUGUUUCUGGAAAAAGCAAUUCCAACUUUCAGGCUGUUCAUAUGGGAUGACCCGAGGAAGUUCAUCAUCGCACAAAGAAGUCUGGAGAGUUCAGCAGUUUCGACUGCGGCCUCCUUCGGGGACAGAUCUCGGGUGUGGCGUGACGCCCGUGAGUCGUUAACCACAAAACAAAGCAAAAAAACAGAUAACGGCUCUGCGAAGGUAGCAAAACUGUUUAAAAAUACUUUAUUUUUUUCCGACUUGCUCUCAAGAAUUACAAAGCAGCUACCAUUUUGACAGCAUGUCUGUCCUUCCGAAGGACACCCUCAAUUGGUACGUGUGAGCGACAAUCAGUUAGCAGCAUCCCCGGCUCUAAGUUUUAACUCCGCUGUUAAAAGCAUCUCCCUUUUGUAAAAGUGUAUCUACACCCCCACCCCCAUAGAAAUAAUAUAAGGCCACUCGUUUCUGAAGCACAACAGGAAGCCAGCUGCCGAGUGGGCCGAGUGGGCCGUUGGCCGCGACUCUUUUUUUUUUUUCUCCUGAAGAAUUUCAAAGACCUUAAAGGAGUCCAUUUAGACACGGCAUUCUUUGAAACCUUCUGGUGGUACCCACGAGAUGGUUUGGACCUCAUUGUUUAUUAGUUCUACUGGCUUCUGCUUCAGAGAACGGUCCUCACUGUUGUCACGGGUUUCUGAACGGGCAAGCUGCUGACCACAAGCCCUUUGGUCAAAAUGGCUCUUUUGUGAAGUUAUGCAGGGCCUGAUGCCUGGAAA